rnacentral:lncRNA from 1 species
AAGAGCCCCAAGCAGCAGGGAGAGGGAGAGAGGAGGAGGAAGGAGAGGAGGAGGAAGAGCCGGAGCAGGGCAGGCAGCAGCAGACGUGACGCCGGCAGCUUCAACUAUGAUCAGUGCAUAAAUCUACCUGCAACACAGGAUGUUGGAAAAUUACCGAGAGACAGCAACGUCCUCCCUGCUGCUUGGUGAGAAAAGAAGGAUGCACCUUCAGGUUAAACACUGGGCUUGGUGACCACCCGUGAGAUCCUGAAUGCCGUGUCCAGCGAGCCUCCCAGCCCCUGAGGACAACAACUAGGACACAUCCCGGGCUGUGGCUGGGACCUGCAGUGACACACGGGCUCAGAGGUGAGGGCUGGCAUCUCUGGGGUGAGAGGAGGAGCUGCCUGUGGGAGAGAGCCAGCAGGGAUGGAGCAGG